rnacentral:rRNA from 1 species
CCCUUGGCCUUGACAUACUAAGAACUUUCCAGAGAUGGAUUGGUGCCUUCGGGAACUUAGAUACAGGUGCUGCAUGGCUGUCGUCAGCUCGUGUCGUGAGAUGUUGGGUUAAGUCCGCAACGAGCGCAACCCUUUUCCUUAUUUGCCAGCGGGUAAUGCCGGGAACUUUAAGGAUACUGCCAGUGACAAACUGGAGGAAGGCGGGGACGACGUCAAGUCAUCAUGGCCCUUACGGCCAGGGCUACACACGUGCUACAAUGGUCGGUACAAAGGGUUGCUACCUCGCGAGAGGAUGCUAAUCUCAAAAAGCCGAUCGUAGUCCGGAUCGCAGUCUGCAACUCGACUGCGUGAAGUCGGAAUCGCUAGUAAUCGCGGAUCAGAAUGCCGCGGUGAAUACGUUCCCGGGCCUUGUACACACCGCCCGUCACACCAUGGGAGUUUGUUGCACCAGAAGUAGGUAGUCUAACCGCAAGGAGGACGCUUACCACGGUGUGGCCGAUGACUGGGGUGAAGUCGUAACAAGGUAAGCGUAGAUGA